UGGUCUUGACAUCCACGGAAGUUUUCAGAGAUGAGAAUGUGCCUUCGGGAACCGUGAGACAGGUGCUGCAUGGCUGUCGUCAGCUCGUGUUGUGAAAUGUUGGGUUAAGUCCCGCAACGAGCGCAACCCUUAUCCUUUGUUGCCAGCGGUCCGGCCGGGAACUCAAAGGAGACUGCCAGUGAUAAACUGGAGGAAGGUGGGGAUGACGUCAAGUCAUCAUGGCCCUUACGACCAGGGCUACACACGUGCUACAAUGGCGCAUACAAAGAGAAGCGACCUCGCGAGAGCAAGCGGACCUCAUAAAGUGCGUCGUAGUCCGGAUUGGAGUCUGCAACUCGACUCCAUGAAGUCGGAAUCGCUAGUAAUCGUGGAUCAGAAUGCCACGGUGAAUACGUUCCCGGGCCUUGUACACACCGCCCGUCACACCAUGGGAGUGGGUUGCAAAAGAAGUAGGUAGCUUAACCUUCGGGAGGGCGCUUACCACUUUGUGAUUCAUGACUGGGGUGAAGUCGUAACAAGGUAACCGUAGGGGAACCUGCGGUUGGAUCAC
rnacentral:rRNA from 2 species